GAUGAACGCUGGCGGCGUGCCUAAUACAUGCAAGUCGAGCGAACAGAUGAGGAUCUUGCUCCACUGACGUUAGCGGCGGAAGGGUGAGUAACACGUGGAUACCCUCUAUAUAAGACUGGGAUAAAUUCGGGAAACAGGCGCUAUUAUCGGAUAUUACCUUGUAACGUAUGGUUCCAUAGUAAAAAACGGUUUUGCUGUCUCUUAUAGAUGGAUCCGCGCCGCAUUAGCUAGUUGGUAAGGUAACGCCUUACCAAGGCAACGAUGCGUAGCCGACCUGAGAGGGUGGUCGGCCACGCUGGAACUGAGACACGGUACAGACUCCUACGGGAGGCAGCAGUAGAGUAUCUUCCGCAAGGGGCGAGAGCCUAACGGAGCAACGCCACGUGAGGUAUGGAGGUCAUCUGAUCUUAAUUCUCUGUUAUUAGGGAAGAACAAAUGUGUAAGUAACUAUGCACGGAUUGACGGUACCUAAUCAGUAAGCCACGGCUAACUACGUG
rnacentral:rRNA from 1 species